AACGAACGCUGGCGGCAUGCCUAACACAUGCAAGUCGAACGAGACCUUCGGGUCUAGUGGCGCACGGGUGCGUAUCGCGUGGGAACCUGCCCUUAGGUUCGGAAUAACUCCCCGAAAGGGGUGCUAAUACCGGAUAAUGUCUUCGGACCAAAGAUUUAUCGCCUUUGGAUGGGCCCGCGUUGGAUUAGCUAGUUGGUAGGGUAAAAGCCUACCAAGGCGACGAUCCAUAGCUGGUUUGAGAGGAUGAUCAGCCACACUGGGACUGAGACACGGCCCAGACUCCUACGGGAGGCAGCAGUGGGGAAUAUUGGACAAUGGGCGAAAGCAUGAUCCAGCAAUGCCGCGUGAGUGAUGAAGGCCUUAGGGUUGUAAAGCUCUUUUACCCGGGAUGAUAAUGACGGUACCGGGAGAAUAAGCCCCGGCUAACUCCGUG
rnacentral:rRNA from 1 species